rnacentral:rRNA from 1 species
GAGUUUGAUCCUGGCUCAGGAUGAACGCUGGCGGCGUGCUUAACACAUGCAAGUCGAGCGAUGAAGUUUCCUUCGGGAAACGGAUUAGCGGCGGACGGGUGAGUAACACGUGGGUAACCUGCCUCAUAGAGUGGAAUAGCCUUCCGAAAGGAAGAUUAAUACCGCAUAAUGUUGAAAGAUGGCAUCAUCAUUCAACCAAAGGAGCAAUCCGCUAUGAGAUGGACCCGCGGCGCAUUAGCUAGUUGGUGGGGUAACGGCCUACCAAGGCGACGAUGCGUAGCCGACCUGAGAGGGUGAUCGGCCACAUUGGGACUGAGACACGGCCCAGACUCCUACGGGAGGCAGCAGUGGGGAAUAUUGCACAAUGGGGGAAACCCCGAUGCAGCAACGCCGCGUGAGUGAUGAAGGUUUUCGGAUCGUAAAGCUCUGUCUUUGGGGAAGAUAAUGACGGUACCCAAGGAGGAAGCCACGGCUAACUACGUGCCAGCAGCCGCGGUAAUACGUAGGUGGCGAGCGUUAUCCGGAUUUACUGGGCGUAAAGGGAGCGUAGGCGGAUGAUUAAGUGGGAUGUGAAAUACCCGGGCUCAACUUGGGUGCUGCAUUCCAAACUGGUUAUCUAGAGUGCAGGAGAGGAGAGUGGAAUUCCUAGUGUAGCGGUGAAAUGCGUAGA